CCUACGGGAGGCUGCAGUGGGGAAUAUUGGGCAAUGGGCGCAAGCCUGACCCAGCAACGCCGCGUGAAGGAAGAAGGCUUUCGGGUUGUAAACUUCUUUUAUCAGGGACGAAGCAAGUGACGGUACCUGAUGAAUAAGCCACGGCUAACUACGUGCCAGCAGCCGCGGUAAUACGUAGGUGGCAAGCGUUAUCCGGAUUUACUGGGUGUAAAGGGCGUGUAGGCGGGAGUGCAAGUCAGAUGUGAAAAUUAUGGGCUCAACCGAUAGCCUGCAUUUGAAACUGUACUUCUUGAGUGCUGGGGAGGCAAGCGGAAUUCGUGGUGUAGCGGUGAAAUGCGUAGAUAUACGGAAGAACACCAGUGGCGAAGGCGGACUGCUAAACAGUCACUGACGCUGAGGCGCGAAAGCGUGGGUAGCAAACAGGAUUAGAUACCCGGGUAGUC
rnacentral:rRNA from 1 species